AUCCAGCUGACCCGUCCCAAAUAGGACAAAACACGCGUCCUGGAU
rnacentral:hammerhead_ribozyme from 1 species